rnacentral:rRNA from 1 species
CAGUGGGGAAUAUUGGCACAAUGGGCGCAAGCCUGAUGCAGCCAUGCCGCGUGUAUGAAGAAGGCCUUACGGGUGUAAAGUACUUUCAGCAGUGAGGAAGUGGGUAUGUUAAUAGCAUACUCAUUUGACGUUAGCUGCAGAAGAAGCACCGGCUAACUCCGUGCCAGCAGCCGCGGUAAUACGGAGGGUGCGAGCGUUAAUCGGAAUUACUGGGCGUAAAGCGCAUGCAGGUGGUUUGUUAAGUCAGAUGUGAAAGCCCGGGGCUCAACCUCGGAAUUGCAUUUGAAACUGGCAAACUAGAGUACUGUAGAGGGGGUAGAAGUUUCAGGUGUAGCGGUGAAAUGCGUAGAGAUCUGAAGGAAUACCGGUGGCGAAGGCGGCCCCCUCGGACAGAUACUGACACUCAGAUGCGAAAGCGUGGGGAGCAAACAGGAUUAGAUACCCUGGUAG